GUCCAGUUGACUUUGAUACCGUAAAGAGCAUUAGAUCGUGAUCGGCCUUCGAAGUGAUGGGGGUGUAUUGAGGCCAAUAAUAAGCAAGAUCAUGUAUAGCCUUUCCAGUCGCUGAGCUCAAGACAUUUGUUCGUAUGAAGCCAUCGGGGUUAUUAGGGGAGCAAACUAAUUCAAUAUACUCAUCACCUUUGUAGGUGUUUGCAUCCCCGG
rnacentral:misc_RNA from 1 species